rnacentral:rRNA from 1 species
AAUGAACGCUGGCGGCAGGCCUAACACAUGCAAGUCGAACGGGUCCUUCGGGACUAGUGGCGGACGGGUGAGUAACGCGUGGGAAUAUACCCUUUGGUACGGAAUAGCCUCGGGAAACUGAGAGUAAUACCGUAUGUGCCCUUCGGGGGAAAGGAUUUAUCGCCAAAGGAUUAGCCCGCGUUGGAUUAGGUAGUUGGUGGGGUAAUGGCCUACCAAGCCGACGAUCCAUAGCUGGUUUGAGAGGAUGAUCAGCCACACUGGGACGUGAGACACGGCCCAGACUCCUACGGGAGGCAGCAGUGGGGAAGUCUUAGACAAUGGGGGAAACCCGUGAUCUAGCCAUGCCGCGUGAUCGAUGAAGGCCUUAGGGUUGUAAAGAUCUUUCAGUUGGGAAGAUAAUGACGGUACCAACAGAAGAAGCCCCGGCUAACUCCGUG